rnacentral:RNase_P_RNA from 1 species
CAACCAGGUCGGGUGACCGCGUACCGCAAGGUAUGAGGAAAGUCCGAACUCCAUGAGCAAGGGCGCUGGGUAACACCCAGUGGAGGUGACUCCAAGGAUAGUGCAACAGAAAGAUACCGCCUCCCUGCGAGGUAAGGAUGGAAAGGUGGGGUAAGAGCCCACCAGCGAACUGGCGACUGUUCGGCUAUGUAAACCCCGCCCGGAGCAAGACCAAAUGGGGGACAUUAUGAAGAGCUCCUUCGUCCCGUGGUAGGUCGCAAGAACACCGUCGGCAACGCGGUGUCCAGAUAGAUGGUCAUCCUCGACAGAAAUCGGCUUACAGACCUGGUUGCUGC